rnacentral:rRNA from 1 species
CGUACACUCUACGGGAGGCAGCAGUGGGGAAUAUUGGACAAUGGGCGCAAGCCUGAUCCAGCCAUGCCGCGUGAGUGAUGAAGGCCCUGGGGUUGUAAAGCUCUUUCACCGGUGAAGAUAAUGACGGUAACCGGAGAAGAAGCCCCGGCUAACUUCGUGCCAGCAGCCGCGGUAAUACGAAGGGGGCUAGCGUUGUUCGGAUUUACUGGGCGUAAAGCGCACGUAGGCGGACUAUUAAGUCAGGGGUGAAAUCCCGGGGCUCAACCCCGGAACUGCCUUUGAUACUGGUAGUCUUGAGUUCGAGAGAGGUGAGUGGAAUUCCGAGUGUAGAGGUGAAAUUCGUAGAUAUUCGGAGGAACACCAGUGGCGAAGGCGGCUCACUGGCUCGAUACUGACGCUGAGGUGCGAAAGCGUGGGGAGCAAACAGGAUUAGAAACCCUGGUAGUCCC